GACGAACGCUGGCGGCGUGCUUAACACAUGCAAGUCGAACGAUGAAGCUGGAGCUUGCUCCGGUGGAUUAGUGGCGAACGGGUGAGUAACACGUGAGCAAUCUGCCCUUGACUCUGGGAUAACUGCGGGAAACUGUAGCUAAUACCGGAUACGAGGCUCGAAGGCAUCUUCGGGUUUGGAAAGAAUUUCGGUCAAGGAUGAGCUCGCGGCCUAUCAGCUUGUUGGUGAGGUAAUGGCUCACCAAGGCGACGACGGGUAGCCGGCCUGAGAGGGUGACCGGCCACACUGGGACUGAGACACGGCCCAGACUCCUACGGGAGGCAGCAGUGGGGAAUAUUGCACAAUGGGCGAAAGCCUGAUGCAGCAACGCCGCGUGAGGGAUGAAGGCCUUCGGGUUGUGAACCUCUUUUAGCAGGGAAGAAGCGAAAGUGACGGUACCUGCAGAAAAAGCACCGGCUAACUACGUGCCAGCCGCCGCGGUAA
rnacentral:rRNA from 1 species